rnacentral:rRNA from 1 species
UGUCCUACGGGACGCAGCAGUGGGGAAUUUUGCGCAAUGGGGGAAACCCUGACGCAGCAACGCCGCGUGCGGGACGAAGGCCCUCGGGCUGUAAACCGCUUUCAGCAGGGAAGACAUCGACGGUACCUGCAGAAGAAGCUCCGGCUAACUACGUGCCAGCAGCCGCGGUAAUACGUAGGGGGCGAGCGUUAUCCGGAUUCAUUGGGCGUAAAGCGCGCGUAGGCGGCCGCCUAAGCGGAACCUCUAACCCCGGGGCUCAACCUCGGGCCGGGUUCCGGACUGGGCGGCUCGAGUGCGGUAGAGGG